AAAUUCUUCAAUAAGAACAGAUUCCAGAAAUGAGAACAAUUCAUACUCAAGCUCAUAUUCACCUGCAAAGACUCAGAAUCCUGCAUCCUACUUAUUGUACUUCACGGAUGAAGGUAAAGAUGUGGACAUAAAACACUCCUGGCCCAAGUCCUGGAUCUCAAGUUCAAGGGUGGACAACUACAAGGUUCAGGACACCCAGAAUGAUCCUGCUGUUGCCAAGUUUGUUGGUAUCUCAACCAAAAUCCCAAACCUUCCCUUCACUUGUCAGGAGCCUAGACUGAAAAGUAGAAUUCAGUAAAUCAUACAGCUAGUUUUCAAAUUGUCAUCCAGUCUUUAUUUACAGAGAAGAGUACCAUUGUUUACCAUCUUUGAAGAGCAGACAGUUCCAUGGACAUUUCGGGAAAAGUUGAAGCACGGGGAUGUAUCACCAUCCUAGCAAUGCAUAAACUGAUGAUAAAAAUCUUAUGUGCACCACUCAGCUGCUUUUCUUGCUACUCCAGGGCUGGCAGGAUCUGAAUUGCUGUUGUAACCACUGACAGAGCUCUUGUCAGAGAGGAAAAGUUACUUAUAUCAAAGCAAAGUCUGUAAGUUUGAGGGUUGAGAGUUACAACAAAAAUAUUGUGAUGAGGAACAAACACUAUCCAAACCUCAGAUGCCAGGAGACAGCCAAUGAA